rnacentral:rRNA from 1 species
UACGAAGGGGGCUAGCGUUGUUCGGAAUUACUGGGCGUAAAGCGCACGUAGGCGGAUAUUUAAGUGAGGGGUGAAAUCCCAGGGCUCAACCCUGGAACUGCCUCUCAUACUGGGUAUCUCGAGUUCGAGAGAGGUGAGUGGAAUUGCGAGUGUAGAGGUGAAAUUCGUAGAUAUUCGCAAGAACACCAGUGGCGAAGGCGGCUCACUGGCCCGGUACUGACGCUGAGGUGCGAAAGCGUGGGGAGCAAACAGG